GAGCAGAAACUGGAGGAGAGGGAAAACGAGGAAGAGAGGAGCUCGUCCGCUUGGAGGCCGAAUGGGGGAGAGAGAGAGAUGUGAGGGCUGGUGUCACACCUCAUUAAGGCCAUUAAAUGGCCACUUCAAUUCCCCAUACAAAGUGACAUCAUCUUCUCUCUCUUCCUUUGCCUUAUCCACAUGCUUUUAGGGGCAUUUAGGUCAUUUCCACCUUGCACAAAUUACUCAUCUGACCUUGGGCUGAAAUU
rnacentral:lncRNA from 1 species